CAAAAUGUCAAAAUACUGUCAAAUGUAGGUUUUAAUUUUACGAAAAUAAUUAUUAAUAAUGAUCUACUUUUAAAGGAUAAAAUAUGGAACCAUUAUCAAUUUUAUUACUUGGUACUUGUAUUAUUGCGUGUUGGCGUAAGAUUUUUUUACGUUUUAAGGUUUUUUAUGUAUGUGAUUAAUUCGUCCUGUAAUCGACUGGGAGCAGAUGUUUUUCGCUGUAUUUUAUAUACAACAUGUUUGUUACCGUGUUGCUUAGCUCUCCCAAUCAUACCAUAUCCUCUACUAAUUAUUGACUCCACGAAAAAUAUGGAUAAAUCCAAAAGAGAGAUGGACAGUCGUUACUACUACAUAUGUGUUACGAAAAAUGGUAUAUUCUUAAAGAAAAAUCGAGGUUAUGAGAAGUUAACUACUUUUUGAUAUAACUUUGUUAUUUUUAUAAAAUUAAACAGUUUUGUGCAUUUA